AACGAACGCUGGCGGCAGGCUUAACACAUGCAAGUCGAACGCAUCCUUCGGGGUGAGUGGCAGACGGGUGAGUAACGCGUGGGAACGUGCCCUUCAGUUCGGGAUAACCCAGGGACACUUGGGCUAAUACCGGAUACGUGCGAGAGCAGAAAGAUUUAUCGCUGAAGGAUCGGCCCGCGUCUGAUUAGCUAGUUGGUGGGGUAAUGGCCCACCAAGGCGACGAUCAGUAGCUGGUCUGGGAGGAUGAUCAGCCACAUUGGGACUGAGACACGGCCCAAACUCCUACGGGAGGCAGCAGUGGGGAAUAUUGGACAAUGGGCGCAAGCCUGAUCCAGCCAUGCCGCGUCAGUGAUGAAGGCCUUAGGGUUGUAAAGCUCUUUCGUCCGGGACGAUAAUGACGGUACCGGAAGAAGAAGCCCCGGCUAACUUCGUGCCAGCCGCCGCAGUAA
rnacentral:rRNA from 1 species